CAAACCAAAGCUGGCGACCGGCGCACGGGUGAGUAACACGUAUCCAACCUGCCUCAUACUCGGGGAUAGCCCUUCGAAAGAAAGAUUAAUAUCCGAUAGCAUAUAUUUCCCGCAUGGGUUUUAUAUUAAAGAAAUUCGGUAUGAGAUGGGGGUGCGUUCCAUUAGUUUGUUGGGGGGGUAACGGCCCACCAAGACUACGAUGGAUAGGGGUUCUGAGAGGAAGGUCCCCCACAUUGGAACUGAGACACGGUCCAA
rnacentral:rRNA from 1 species